AAGAGUAAAGGCAAGAAAAAGAAAAAAUGUUCGAAGUUAAUAGAAGACGAACGUUACCACCUUCAUACGCAAAUUAUCGUUAUUCGACAUACCUGGAGGAAGGUGUUGCUUUGUUAAAACUUUCUCCAGUAUUAGAGGAGAAUGUUAAAAAAAAUAGGAAUUCGUUGCAAUCUUCCAAAAUGUUGAUUAACAUCUCGCGAACUAAACCGGACACUUAUUCGAAAUUUAAAUUCCCAUGCCAACAACAAAAGAACAAUUUUUUUCGUAAUCAAAUCGUUAUACCACCAUUGAAUUCUUCAAAGAUGAUAAAUUCGCCUAAAACUAAUUUAAUUCAUUAUAAUAACGAAGGCGUUAAAAGUAUGACGAAUUUUAUUGGAAAAAAAUGUUACAACCUUGGAGAAAAAGGUUCAGGUAUCAGAAUACGCGGUGAGAUUCAAGAUUUUAAUGCGUUGAGAUUAGAAUGUCUUCAAAACGGACAACUUUUUGAGGAUCCAGAAUUUCUUGCUGCCGAUUCGUCUCUGUACUUUUCCAAAAGACCGGAUAGAUACAUAGAAUGGAGGAGACCUAUGGAAAUCGCGGACAAUCCACAACUCUUCGUCGAAGGUUUUUCAAGAUUCGAUGUUCAACAAGGAGAGUUAGGUGAUUGUUGGUUACUCGCAGCUGUUGCAAAUCUUACCAUGGAUUCGAAUUUGUUCUUUCAAGUUGUACCGGAAGAUCAAAGCUUUGAGGAAAAUUAUGCUGGAAUUUUUCACUUCAGGUUUUGGCAAUAUGGUAGAUGGGUGGACGUUGUUAUUGAUGAUCGUUUACCUACAUAUAACGGUGAACUGAUAUACAUGCAUUCCGCUGAAAGCAAUGAAUUUUGGAGUGCUCUUUUAGAAAAAGCAUAUGCUAAACUUCAUGGUUCUUACGAAGCUUUGAAAGGGGGUACGACAUGCGAAGCUAUGGAAGAUUUUACAGGAGGGGUUACCGAGAUGUAUCAAAUGGACGAAGCUCCGCCAAAUUUAUUCAACGUUCUUUUAAAGGCAUUUGAAAGAAAUUCACUUAUGGGUUGUUCCAUAGAGCCCGAUCCAAAUGUAUUGGAAGCAGAAACCCCUCAAGGACUAAUAAGAGGCCAUGCUUACAGUAUUACGCGUGUCAAGUAUGUAGAAAUUCAAACACCAAAUCAAUAUGGCAGAAUACCAUUACUCAGAUUACGAAAUCCAUGGGGUAAUGAAGCGGAAUGGAACGGUCCUUGGAGCGAUAAGUCACCGGAAUGGAGAUUUAUUUCUGACGAUGAGAAGAGAGAAUUAGGAUUAACUUUCGACGUAGAUGGCGAAUUUUGGAUUUCCCUUCAAGAUUUUAAAACUUACUUCACGCAACUUGAGAUAUGUAACUUGAAUCCAGAUUCAUUAACUGAAAAUGAUAUUAAUGCUGGAAAAAAACGAUGGGAAAUGAGCGUUUUUGAAGGGGAAUGGGUACGCGGAGUUACAGCUGGUGGUUGCAGAAACUUUUUAGAAACGUUUUAUCAUAAUCCUCAAUAUCGAAUAACAUUGGAACAUCCUGAUGAUGACGAUGACAAAUGUACUGUUAUUGUUGCAUUGAUGCAAAAAAAUAGACGAGCCCAACGAAGAAUGGGUGCGGAUUGUCUUACUAUUGGAUUUGCUAUAUACUAUUUAGAACAACCCGAUAGAUUACCAAAACCAUUGGAUAUCAAUUUCUUCAAGUAUAAUGCAUCCGUAGCACGAUCACCAGCUUUCAUUAAUUUACGCGAAGUUACCUGCCGAUUCAAAUUACCACCGGGUGUCUAUUGUAUUGUUCCGAGUACUUUCGAUCCUAACGAAGAAGGUGAAUUUUUACUAAGGAUAUUCUCAGAAAACAAAAAUUAUAUGGAGGAAAAUGAUGAGGAAGUUGGAAUUGGAGAAGUUGAUGAUAGGGUGAUUAAUCCUAAAGGCACUAAUACGGAUGGGGAUGAUGAAAAAAUCCGUGAUGAACCUGAACCUGAUCGGAAUGUCGAAAAAGUACGAGAAUUCUUUAAAAAACUCGCUGGCGAUGAUAUGGAAGUGGAUUGGAUGGAACUUAAAGAGAUCUUGGAUUUUGCAAUGAGGAAAGAGUUACCACAGUCGACGCGUCGUAGCGAGGCACAUGAACCAGAAUCAGUACAAGGAAAUGAUUCUUUUAUCGACACUGUCAUCUCACUGCUGUGCGGCAUUGUUUGUAAUAAUGAACAAUACAAUAAAUCUGUAGAUACACAAGAUAGAGGAUUUUCUAAAGACGUAUGUCGAAGUAUGGUAGCUAUGUUAGAUGUAGAUCAUUCGGGAAAGCUUGGAUUUGAAGAAUUUAGAACCUUAUGGAAUGAUAUUAGGAAAUGGAGGGCUGUUUUUAAAUUGUACGAUAAGGAUGAAUCUGGACAUUUGAAUGCGUUUGAAUUGCGUCAAGCUUUGAAUAGUGCAGGAUAUAGACUAAAUCAUCAUAUUUUAAAUAUUUUGGUACAUCGAUAUGGAACUUCAGACGGUAAAAUAAUGUUUGAUGAUUACAUAAUGUGUGCCGUACGAUUGAAAACAAUGAUCGAUAUGUUCAGGGAAAGAGAUCCGGAUCAAACUAAUUCAGCAACAUUUACAAUGGAAGAAUGGAUAGAGAAAACAUUAUAUUCUUAAAAUAUUGCAUCUUAUUAUCGUUAAUGCAUUUUCCUCAAUUAUUUACGUGCCUUACAUAUUUAAGGUAAUGCAAUUAUUCUGAUUAAUGGAAAUAUAAAAGCUCAUAUAUUUUAAAUGCCAAAGGAUAAUGAAGCUGAGAACUUAUCGAUACUAUUAUUUUUUUAGACAUACUGAUACGAAUGCAUUCUAACAUUAUUAUAUUAAAUAACUAUACCGUUAAUACGAACAAAAUAAAUUUUUCUUAAGAUUUGAGAAGCUUUAGUUU
rnacentral:misc_RNA from 1 species